rnacentral:misc_RNA from 1 species
GAUGAAGAACGCAGCGAAAUGCGAAAAGUAAUGUGAAUUGCAGAAUUCAGUGAAUCAUCGAAUCUUUGAACGCACGUUGCGCCCGCCAGUAUUCUGGCGGGCAUGCCUGUCUGAGCGUCAUUUCAACCCUCACGCCCCUAGGGCGUGGUGUUGGGGAUCGGCCAGCGCCCUCGCGGGCGAGGCCGUCCCCUAAAUCUAGUGGCGGACCCGUCGUGGCCUCCCCUGCGAAGUAGUGAUAUUCCGCAUAGGAGAGCGACGAGCCCCUGCCGUUAAACCCCCAACUUUCUCAGGUUGACCUCAGAUCAGGUAGGAAUACCCGCUGAACUUAAGCAUAUCAAUAAGCGGAGGA